rnacentral:rRNA from 1 species
GACGAACGCUGGCGGCGUGCCUAAUACAUGCAAGUCGAACAGAAAGGCCCUGCUUUUGCGGGGUGCUCGAGUGGCGAACGGGUGAGUAUCACGUGAGUAACCCGCACUUGACUUUGGGAUAACUCUUGGAAACACGGGCUCAUACCGGAUAGGAGCUUUUGCUGCAUGGUGGGCGUUGGAAAGUUUCGGCUGUUGGGGAUGGACUCGCGGCUUACCAGCUUGUUGGUGAGGUAGUGGCUUACAAAGGUUUCGACGGAUAGGCGGCCUGAGAGGGUGGCCGGCCACAAUGGGACUAAGGGACGGCGCAGACUCCUACGGGAGGCAGCAGUGGAGAAUAUUGCGCAAUGGGCGGAAGCCUGAUGCAGCGACGCCGCGUGCGGGAUAACGGGCUUCGGGUUGUAAACCGCUUUCGCCUGUGACGAAGCGUGAGUGACGGUAAUGGGUAAGAAAGCACCGGCUAACUACGUG